GCCAGACUCCUACGGGAGGCAGCAGUGGGGGAUAUUGCACAAUGGGGGGAACCCUGAUGCAGCGACGCCGCGUGGGUGAAGGAGCGUUUCGGCGCGUAAAGCCCUAUCGGCAGGGAAGGAGGAGGACGGUACCCGACUAAGAAGCCCCGGCUAACUACGUGCCAGCAGCCGCGGUAAUACGUAGGGGGCAAGCGUUAUCCGGAUUUACUGGGUGUAAAGGGGGCGCAGACGGCAGCGCAAGCCAGGAGUGAAAGCCCGGGGCCCAACCCCGGGACUGCUCUUGGAACUGCGCGGCUGGAGUGCAGGAGGGGCAGGCGGAAUUCCUGGUGUAGCGGUGAAAUGCGUAGAUAUCAGGAGGAACACCGGUGGCGAAGGCGGCCUGCUGGACUGCAACUGACGUUGAGGCCCGAAAGCGUGGGGAGCAAACAGGAUUAGAUACCCCCGUAUG
rnacentral:rRNA from 1 species